AAUAGAUACCCCGGUAGUCCACGCCGUAAACGAUGAGUGCUAAGUGUUAGGGGGGUUUCCGCCCCUUAGUGCUGCAGCUAACGCAUUAAGCACUCCGCCUGGGGAGUACGGUCGCAAGACUGAAACUCAAAGGAAUUGACGGGGGCCCGCACAAGCGGUGGAGCAUGUGGUUUAAUUCGAAGCAACGCGAAGAACCUUACCAGGUCUUGACAUCCUCUGACAACCCUAGAGAUAGGGCUUUCCCUUCGGGGACAGAGUGACAGGUGGUGCAUGGUUGUCGUCAGCUCGUGUCGUGAGAUGUUGGGUUAAGUCCCGCAACGAGCGCAACCCUUGAUCUUAGUUGCCAGCAUUCAGUUGGGCACUCUAAGGUGACUGCCGGUGACAAACCGGAGGAAGGUGGGGAUGACGUCAAAUCAUCAUGCCCCUUAUGACCUGGGCUGCACACGUGCUACAAUGGACAGAACAAAGGGCUGCGAGACCGCAAGGUUUAGCCAAUCCCACAAAUCUGUUCUCAGUUCGGAUCGC
rnacentral:rRNA from 1 species